rnacentral:hammerhead_ribozyme from 1 species
AUCCAACUGAAGAGUCUCAAAUAGGACGAAACGUGCGUCAUGGAU